rnacentral:tRNA from 1 species
AGGGAGUUAAUCUAAUUAAAGACUACUAAUUUCGACUUAGUAAAUUGUGAUUAACUAUCACAACCCCCUU